CACGUGACGAGUACGCAACACACAACUAGGUAAGAGCCGUCUGAACGACAUACCUCCGUCCUGUGGAACAGCAACGCCUGGGGUCUGCCACCGCAAUGGCUGUGCCCUGAGUCUGAUGU
rnacentral:snoRNA from 1 species